rnacentral:piRNA from 1 species
UGAAUUUCUUUUUCCAGUGAGGGCAA